CAGCCGUAAACUAUGCGCGUUAGGUGUACUGGUGACCACGAGUCACCGGGGUGCCGAAGGGAAACCGUGAAACGUGCCGCCUGGGAAGUACGGUCGCAAGGCUGAAACUUAAAGGAAUUGGCGGGAGAGCACCACAACGGGUGGAGCCUGCGGUUUAAUUGGACUCAACGCCGGAGAUCUCACCGGAUAGGACAGACAUAUGAUAGUCGGGCUGAAGACUCUACUUGAUGAUCUGAGAGGUGGUGCAUGGCGUCAGUGACU
rnacentral:rRNA from 1 species